rnacentral:rRNA from 1 species
UCCGAUUAGCUAGUUGGUGGGGUAAAGGCCUACCAAGGCGACGAGGUAGCUGGUCUGAGAGGAUGAACAGCCACACUGGGACUGAGACACGGCCCAGACUCCCGGGAGGCAGCAGUGGGGAAUAUUGGACAAUGGGGGGAACCCUGAUCCAGCAAUGCCGUGUGUGAAGAAGGCCUGAGGGUUGUAAAGCACUUUCAGUGGGGAGGAGGAUUAAUAGGAAGAGCUAAUUAAUUGGACGUUACCCACAGAAGAAGCACCGGCUAACUCCGUGCCAGCCCGCGGUAAUACGGAGGGUGCGAGCGUUAAUCGGAAUUACUGGGCGUAAAGGGUGCGUGUGGUCAAUUAAGUUAGAUGUAAAAACCCUGGGCUUAACCUGGGGCUGAGAUUUAAUAGGUUGACUGGAGUAUUGGAGAGGGUAGUGGAAUUUCCGGUGUAGCGGUGAAAUGCGUAGAUCGGAAGGAACACCAGUGGCGAAGGCGGCUACCUGGCCAGAUACUGGCACUGAAGCGAAAGCGUGGGGAGCAAACAGGAUUAGAUACCCUGGUAGUCCACGCUGUAAACGAUGUACUAGCCGUUGGUCAUAUUAAGAUGAUAAGUGGCGCAGCAAACGCGAUAAGUGACCGC